AAGCCUCCCAAAAUUUCCCUCCCAUCUCUAUAAGUUUCAGAUCUGAAAUUUGAGACCUAAGCUACAAAUUCUUCCCAAAAAGUCCUUCUCCUUGAGUUUCAUAUCUGAAAUACCAAAUUUCUACUUCAAAAAAAUCAAAAAUCAAACAAAACAAACAAAACUUUCACAAAAAAUAAAAAUAUCUACUGUUUCAUUGGAAUAAUUUCAGCUUUUUAGAUACUGAGUUGCAUUUCCUAGUUAUUAUUUGCUUGCUGAAAUUUUGGGGUUCAUUAGACAAGAUUCAAGUGAUUCUGGGUUAAUUUGAGUAGUUCUACUUGAUUUCAACACAUUUAUGGAUAAUGUGCUUGUUUCUGGGUUUAAGCUUAGUAUGACUUUGGGCUGUUGAAUUCGAAUUGCUGCUGUUAGCCCUUCCUGCUUUGACUGACUUCUUUUCUUCAUUAUAAUAUCAAAUUCAGGUACACAUCUCAAGUCUGUUUCAAUGUAACUCUCCUGAUGGGAAAUGCAAUGAAGCUACAGUUUAUAUUAAUCCCUCUUCUGUUAUGUUUGAGUAUUUCUGUGUACCACGUAGUAUGAUUUAGUUGAUUGUUAGUGUAGUUAAAUGUAAUUGGAGUUGGACUGUGUUGCAUGAUGUUAACUGUAGCUUUUGGACCACAAAUUUUACAUGUGAAGUGUUAGCUGUAGAAUGGAGUUCCGGUGAUAAUGAAUCAGUAAUUGACUAAAAUUGUUAGUUAAUGAUUGUUGGUUUUUAAACUAUAAUUCUGGAAUUUCAAAGUGGAACCUGGAUAGUAAUGAGAUUGUUUAGACCUGCUUGAUUAUGUGAAUUGAAGUCAGUAGGUGAAAUGAGACUUUUGUGAUUAUUAAAUUAUAAAUUGUUCUUAGUCAUUGUAUAAAGUAGUUUCGUUUUGUUAAUUGAUAUUGAAAUCAACAGCCCCCCUUAAUUAGCAGUUUGUUUGCUUAAAAGUAUGGGAUUAAGCUCAUGAUUGAACAUUGAUUUGGUACUGAAAAUUAAUUAGUUUAGUUAGUGUAUUAAAUCCAGUGUUUUCGAUUACUAGUGAAAUUCGUAUUUGAUAAUCUGUUAGUGAUUAAGCCCAUAGGAAGCCUCGUAAUUUUCUUUGGGAAUCGAUGCUCUUAUGGACAAGCAAAGGGGUGGGCUAUUCACGCCGGCUGGGAUUCGAACCCAAGCCCUUGGCUGGAGAUGAGCUUCAUGUUAUGCUUGCGUUUGGGCCACCAUUUGACCCAUGUGGAUUGAGACUGCUUCGAAGAUGCAAUUCAAGAUUAAAUUGUUAUAUAAAAUUGGGGUUUUGAGUUAGUUAGCGGGUUUUUAAAUUAAAAGGUUCUUCCUUUUGUUUGGAUCCGGGCUUGAACUUUAAACCCGAGUUCUCAUUAUAAGCAAUUAGGAAUUUUUCUUUUCUUUUAGAGACAAAAACAAAAAUAGAAAAAUAUAGUUAUCUUAUAAGUUUAUCCUUUAAAAUAAAAUGAGAUGAGCGUCGCCAAAGAAAAACAACAAUUGCGGGGCCCCCAAUAAAGAUUUAAAAUAUUUUAGAAAUCGGGAAGGGCUGUAGCGAAUUUCAUGGCCCUUCCAAAAGAUUACAACGCGCUAGAUUCUAUUAGGCGCGACUUUAAUAAAUUACAUUCCUAAAUACGGGUGGGCGUUUUAUUCGGCCCAAAUCCAAAUCCUAAAACGUUGAAUAGAGUGUGUCUAGAAUUGCAAGUUCAUUUGAUGCGGCACAAUCCGAAAAUACAUUUUAAAUGACGUUCACUUUCUUAAAGAAAUAUCAUAUUAAAUAAAAGCAGUAAAAAAAAUAAAAACUGGCACAUAGGCUCUUCAUGUAAUAAAAUCAGACAAAAGCUAAACGCAACAGUUGAGCGAUCGUGCUAGAACCACAGAACUCGGGAAUGCCUAAUACCUUCUCAUGGGUUAACAGAAUUCCUUAUCCGGUUUCCUGGUUCGCGGUCUGUUAACAGUCAUCUUUUUCCUCGGUUCGGGAUUCAACCGGUGACUUGGGACACCAUUAGUCUCCCAAGUGGAAACUUUGAAUCUUAAGAAAUAAAUCCCGUUUCGAUUGUCCUUUAAGUGGAAAACUCUUUUGCGCCCCUUUGCGGGGGUGUAUAGCGGAAAAGGAGGUGUGACAGCUCUUGCGACUCUGCUAGGGAUAAGAACCUAGAACAUUUUAUUCAGGGUUUAGAAUUCGAGCUUAGAAUAAUUGUUGUGUUUGGCUUUAUGAGAUUUUGUUACAUGAUAUGUGCUUAAUGUGCUAGUUGAUUGCUUUUACCGCUUUGAUAUUACGUGAACUGUAUAUAAACUGUGCC
rnacentral:lncRNA from 1 species